GCCUGAUCUUUUGGCCAGAAGGAGAUUAAAAUGAUGCCCCUUAAGAUGGCUGUGCCUGUCAGCUGCAUGGAGCUUCGUUCGAGUAUUUUCUGAGCCUGAUGGAUUUACAGUGAUCUUCGGUCGUCUGAGGAAUAACUCUGGUGGAACAAUGCACUGGAAUGACACACGCCCUGCACAUUUCAGGAUACUAAAAGUGGUUUUGAAGGAGGCCCUGGCUGAAUGCCUCAUGGAUUCUUACAGCUUGGAUGUCCAUGUGGGAUGAAGGACCGCAGCUGGCUGCGAGGACUGAGAUCUCUGUUUACUUGGGUCUCUGCCAACUUCCUUUGGGUCUCCCUAUGGAAUGUAAGACCCCGACUCCUCCUGGUGAAGCGUCUGAUGCAUGUUCCGUCCGGCGCUCAGCUGGGCUUGAGCUGACCACGCUCCCUGGAGCCUUCUCCCGAGGUGGCGCAGGUGUCCUUGGCACAUACAGCCGUGGUGAUGGUACUUUAAGUGGAGGCUGAAUCAUUUCCCCUUUGAGCUGCAUGGCACAUGGCUCCCUUGGUGUUCCCAUUUUACAGCCAGGACACUGAGAUUUGGAGAGGUAAGUGGCUUACCAGAGGCCAUGUGCUAACAGAGAAGAUGAAGAGAUGAUUGAAGCAGGCCUGAGGGUCUAUACAUUUUCCACAUACUUUCCAUAUCUUUAGAGGCCUGACCAAAGCAGAGCUUUUCCUUUCUUCUAGGUAAGUCCAAAGGCACCUGCCUGCUGGGCCCACUGUUUUGUAACUUUCUGAUCCCUUGGGGGUGAUGGUCAAAUAUUCGAGUCUGAGGCAUUGGGAUACAUGAUGCCGGGUUCUGAGGCUGUGUGUCAGGCCUAAACCCUGCAUUUUGUGGAGGUGUGUGAGAGAAUAUUCCCCCAGGGAACAUGCCUAGACACAGGGGGGUAACAGUUGCCCUCAUGGGGAGGCAUCUGUUUACUCGCUGCUAUGGGACCAUUUCAGCCUUUCACAAAACCACUGCAGGUGAGUGAGUUCCUGCUGAAUACCAGGCCUGGUCUCUUUAGACUCAUUAUUCCCCAACCCCCCCCUCCCCGCCCCACAACCCCUAUGCUAGUUCAUCUCUAGCCACAUUUUUAUUGCCAUCAUCCAGGCCUGGGCAGGCCAAGAUCUUUUAACAAUUUUAAUCACUGAAAAUAAUAACUGCAUUUUUUUUAAAGCCUAACUUUUGGUAGAGUCAGCCCAAAAUACAGUCUUUGUGUUGCUAUGUGGGAACUGGAUUUGGAAUUGUUCUUCCAUGAGACUGUAGAGCAGAACAGCAGGGCCAGAGGUCCCAGGAGCUGGUCAGACCUGGCUCUGCUCCUUCAUGGCUGAGCGACCUUGGGCAUUGUGAUUCAUAUUCUCAUCUGCCUCCAAGUGUGGCUACGAAUGCUUUUUAUCCCACUUAUCAAUUUCUAUGAUUGCCAUAAAAUAUUAACACAAAUUUAGCAUUUAUACACCAUAAUAUAUUAAUGCAUAGUUUUUUUUUGGGAGCGGGGACAGCGUUGAGACAGAGUCUUGCUCUGUCACCCAGGCUGGAGUGCAAUGGUUUGAUCCUGGCCCACUGCAGCCUUGACCUCCAGGGCUCAAGGGAUCCUCCCACCUCAGUCUCCAGAGUAGCUGGGACUACAGGCGUGAGCUACCACGCCUGGCUAAUUUUUUGUAUUUUUUGUAGAGACGAGGUCUCACUAUCUUGCCCAGGCUAGCCUGAAACUCUUGGACUCAAGCGAUCCUCCCACCUCGGCUUCCUAAAGUGCUGGGAUUACAGGUGUGAACCACUGUGCCUGGCUCAUGUCCAGUUAUCUAGGGCAGAGGUCAGACACGGAUCUCUCCAGGCUCACAUCAAGGAGCCUGUAGGCUGCCUUCCUUUCUGGAGACUGCGGGGGAGAGUCUGUUUCCUUGCUCAUCCUGGGUGUUGGCAGAAUUCGUUGCCUUGAGGUUGUAGGACUGAGAUCCUGUUUUGUUGCUGGCUGUCCAGUUGCACUGAGCUUCUGGGAGCCUCCCCUCUAGGCUUAUGGCCUCCUCUCUCCAUUUUCAAGUCCAGCAAUGGUGGGUCCAGUUCCUUUUAGGAUUUAAAUCUCUUCUCCCUCUUUCUUUUCACUUCUGUGAUCUCAGCUAGAAAAGAUUGUCUAAUUUUAAGGAUUCAUGUGAUUGAACUGGGGCCACGCUGAUAAUCCAGAAUAAUCCCUACUUCAAGGUCCUUAGCUUUAGUCACAUCUAGGAAGUUCCAUUGCCAUGGGAGGCAACAUAUUCACAGGUUCCAGCAAAUUCCGACAUGGACAUCUCUUUGAUUGGCAUGGAGUGUGGCAGGUAUUCUGACACGGUACCUCAGAACGGUUGCUGUGAUGAUUAAGUGAAUGGAUACAUGUAAAGCACUUAAAAUAUUAUGUUGAGCCAUAUGAAUUUGGCAGCAUUGAAUUGUUGACCUAUAAAAGGUCAACUUAAUAGUAUCUGGUCUAUAGUAAAUCCUCAGUAAAUGUUUGCUGUCAUU
ensembl:lncRNA